rnacentral:rRNA from 1 species
UCGAGAAUCAUUCACAAUGGGGGAAACCCUGAUGGUGCGACGCCGCGUGGGGGAAUGAAGGUCUUCGGAUUGUAAACCCCUGUCAUGUGGGAGCAAAUUAAAAAGAUAGUACCACAAGAGGAAGAGACGGCUAACUCUGUGCCAGCAGCCGCGGUAAUACAGAGGUCUCAAGCGUUGUUCGGAAUCACUGGGCGUAAAGCGUGCGUAGGCGGUUUCGUAAGUCGUGUGUGAAAGGCGGGGGCUCAACCCCCGGACUGCACAUGAUACUGCGAGACUAGAGUAAUGGAGGGGGAAACGGAAUUCUCGGUGUAGCAGUGAAAUGCGUAGAUAUCGAGAGGAACACUCGUGGCGAAGGCGGGUUCCUGGACAUUAACUGACGCUGAGGCACGAAGGCCAGGGGAGCGAAAGGG